rnacentral:lncRNA from 1 species
UUAAAGUAAAAGGGGUUACGACUUCCCGAACCUACUAAGCUAACUAGGAAUAAUUCUAACCUAGUUAGAUAGUGACUUAUGAGUGGGUUAAAACACUUAAAUUAUGAACUAAGGAAAAUGAAGGGGCCAAAGAUGUUAAAAUCGAAACUUAUGUUGCUAAUUUAAUUAAAAUAAAAACCAAACACCCCAUUUGGGGAUGUCUGGUCGUACAAAGAAGCAGGAGGCGAUGUGUUUCUUCAAACCCUAAAAUCCUUACUAAAACUCUCAAAUUGGAGGUGCAAAUCUGGUCCAAAACGAAAAUCGAGCAUAGAUUACUGAUCCCCAUUGCAAGGGGGUUGUAAGGUAUGUAAAAUUUGAUGUUAAUUCUCUACUUGAAAUUCUCAUGAAUUUAGGAUAUUCGAAAUUUGUUGAUGCAUGUUCGUUAUAUGAUGAAAUAGGAACAUUGUAGUGUCUAGGAGUAAACCCUAGAGAAGCAUAUGAUGAAAUUAGGUCUAAAUCUUGUGAAUUCAUGAUCACCAUUGAAGGUGAUAAGUGUGAUGAUGCUAAAUUCGUGUAAUGUGAUGUUUUUAGGGUUUUUGAUGGCUAAAAAUAGUGCUAUAAUAUCAUAAACAUGUUUCGAUUGAAAACUGAAUUCAAACAGCUUCUGAUCAGAAUUUACAGCCGAAUUGUAUUGGCUGUAACAUGGACAAAACGUGACAAAAACGUUUGUUUCUUGAGUCUAAAAUGUAAUUCCAGGAAAUAUCUUUAAAACCCCACUGGAAUCGCAUUUUUUCGACUAAAAUUGAGCGUUUUAUGAAUUUUUCCGUAUCAAAGGUUCAAGCUGCGUUUUCUGGCAGAAUUUGCAGCCCAUUACGAAUGUCAUAACUCAAUUUAGGGAUUGAGUUAUGAUCUCAAAUUCUUACUGUGGAAAGUAUUAAGUUAUUAGAAGAAUCUCCAAUUGGAAUUUCGUCAAUCGAAUAAACGAGGAAUUUUUUAAUGAAUUUUUCCGUAAGCUGCAGUCAGAAGUGACGAAUCUGAUUGCAGCUUAGUAGAUGAAUUUUUACGAAUUUUUGGUAAAGAGUUAGAUCUUGAAAUUUUAACACAAGGGCUACCCCUCCGAGAGGUACGCCACAUAAAAAAAUCAUAAUUUUUGAAGACUUGUAAACAGGUUAAACAGGUCACCAAAAACAGCCUAUUUUCAGUGAUACGAAACUUGAUUGUUGAUAUUAUAAAUUAUGCCCACAAUGUUCAUAUGUUGAAAUUAUGAAUCAAACGCGUAAUUUCCUAGUUCGACUAAUUAUGUGUGAUGUGGGGUAAUACAAAUUUUAAUUAUGAAGUCGAUUUAGCUUAUAUGCACAUAUCAUAUAAUUAAGGGUAGUUAACUUUUGAAUAGUUAAACUAACCAUGGACGGAGUCGAAUAGUAGUUUUGACAUAGAAAACACGUAAGGUGGAAUAGUCGUGGUUAUAAUGACUAAUCUAACCACCUUGUGAAUUAUGAUGAUAGUUUGACUCUUGACAAGCUAGAUGGAGGCUUGGAAUGAAGCGGGUCAAACGGAGCAAGUACGAAAAGGAAAGCGUAAUUUGGAUGCGAGGUUGUAAAUACGACAAAAGCUAUAUUUGAAAUAUGGUUCCGACACGAAAUGAAACGGGUCGGGACAUAUAAAAUAAUGAUAAACCAUGUUUAAUGGUAAAAUGGGCGAAAUGGUAAUUGGUCACGAGAUGACGUAUAUAUAAAAUGAGUUUUUGAAUGGCUACUUAUUAAGGUAAGCCUAAACGAGUAAAAAGAGUAAAACGACGAAUUAGUCGUGUGUAGACGAAAAAGAGUUGAAGUUUAAAACAACACCAUUUAAUAUUAAGCACAAAAUAUUUGGUAGUCUAGACCAAACGGGUCAAAUGGUAAUAUUUAUACCAUUUGACAAUUAACGACUAAUAAGUGUAUGUCGAGUCUCAUGCUCGCAGGGUAAUUGGUUUAUGAAUUAGCGAGGCUAUGAAUUAGCAUAUUAUAGAGACAAGGUCUUAAAACGGGUCAAUAUGUUGACCCGAGCCAGGUACGCUUAUAUAUAUAGAUGUAUAGUUAAAAGUGUUUAACUUCCCUUCACGGGUCAAAAGGAGUAGAUAGGUAAAACGGGUUAAGAAUUCAUAAGAAACCCGUAAUUUGAACCUUGCACAUUAGUAAAUUGAUAUAACGUGAUAUGCAUGAUAUUUUGAAUAUGAUUGAUUGAUCUUUGAUAUUGGUUCAUAUGUAACAUAUUAGAAUUUCGAGAAACUAAUGUAUUGGUAUGUUAGAAAGAGCGAAAUCCGAGAUUUAGGCUUGAGUAUAAUGAACAAAGCAACCAAAAGAUGGAUUUACAGGGACUACCGUAAGUUACGGUAGUACCGUAAGUUACGGUAGAGGUCAGGAGCUUACGGUGUGAGUCUACUGGUUUACGGUGGACCAUUAUUGGAAAUUGACCACCGUAACUUACGGUGAAACCGUAAGUUACGGUAGGGCCUGAAUGUUUAUAAAUUUUAUAUAAUUGUAAAUUUUCAAAUUCAUUUCGAUCGUAGUUUCGAUCAAGUAUCAUUUCUAAGCAUUCUAAUAUAAAUGUUUAUGUAAACAUUUCAGUCUUAGGUACUCAAGGAUUAUGGGUGACGAUCAAGCAACUUUUGAAGGACCGAACACAUACUCUUGAAGCUUCCGCAUAAAUCAACUCGGUUUAAACAAUGUUUAUGAUGUAAACUGUUUGCUAAACAACUUUUGAAAUGUUUAAACGACGUACUCAAUUAUGUUAUGUUGUAUUAUUUUAAAAUUGUAAAGUUUAAACAAACCCGUAUUUUUACAAAGUAUAUGUAGUCAUAAUUAUAUGUUGUUU